UGCGUUCGGUACACUACAGGGUGUUAAGAAAAAGAUCAACUCCUGUCAUUCUUCCCCACGUCGCUUCCCACAAUAUUUAUAGUUGCUGUGGGAGAGAUGACAAAGCUUUUGCCAAUUAAAAGCACGGCCCCAAUGAAUGCUUGUAUCUACUCCACUCUGCCUCUUAUCUCUGUAUAUAAGUAAAACUGCACCAUUGUAGGCUGUUUGCGGCAAUGCAUGAAUGAGUCGUACCGCGAAUGCGUUAAUUGCGAUAAAUAUUUUCACGUGAUUAAUUUUAAAAAAUUAAUUAGCACCCGUUAACGUGAUAAAUUUGACAGCCCUACAUUUAACAAAACAAAAUAAAUGCAUUCAAUUGGGAAGAAAUGCAUAACUGAUGCUACAACAAUCUAACGAUAUACUGGCAAGCGGGGUGGCCAGUGGGGUGGCCAACCAAUUUAUAGGGGUGGCCGUGGCCACCCCUGGCCACCCCCUGGUGGCGCCACUGGUUAGGACGCGCCUCCAUGCUGGUAAUAUGAUUCACUUCCGGUCCGGCAGACUCAAUGCGGAUUGUAACGUGUGGUAGUGCUAAGCUAACUCCUUCGGUGUUUUAGAAAGAAAAUAUGGGUGCUUAUUGUUGCGUUACCGGGUGCAACAGCGUCUCCUACGACAAAAAAAAAAGGGGUUAGGAAAAAUGGACUCACUUUUCACCGUUUUCCUGCAUGGAGGACCAAAUAUCAGAUCACGAAGGUACGACGGAUGGCUGGAUUGCAGCGGUUCGUCGGAAAAGCAUCUCUUAUGAUCAUUUUUCUGCUGGAAUGAGAGUGUGUUCCUGUCAUCUCUACUCUUGCAAAAGCCAGGCGAUCCGUACGUGACCCCUGGCGGACUUCCUUUGCCGCUCUGCCGGAGUGUUGCUGGCUUCCCACUCAUUUGUCACGGUCUUCAGACUGCUCUUUUGACCGAGCCAUGAUGCACAUCAGACAAUGCUUCUCAUCAAGACAAUUCUUACCAGUCGUCCCUGACGGAGAAGCUUGGCUGUCAGUGUAGUCGGCGCAGGUUGGAACAUGACAACUGAUCACACGGCAGAUAUCUGGGACAAUGGACUCAAAGGGAGGUGUUGCAGAUGUUAAUGGCAUGACAGGACCUAUUUGGGACAAUGCAAACGUGGAUUUUAUCCUAAUUUUGCCAUAGGAAAAACCCGAACAAAUUGUAUUUUGAGGUCUGUUCAUCUGGUUUGUAUGCAUUCAUUCCAUCAUUUUAGCACUGUGACAAAAUCAAAGUUGAGUGCAAGUGUUAAGUCAGGCAGCAACAAAUCAUCAACACCUCUGGAAGAGGGUAAGCCGUGUUAAACACAAACACAACUCACGUCCCUCACUAGGGUCUCGGUUGACUGGACUUAAGAAGCACUUUGAAACGAGUCCAUCUUAAACACUGACGACAUCCAAAUGUUUGGGAGAUUUUUCUUGUUGUGGUGCAUGGCCUGGUGGAGCCGGCAUGUCGGUGGAACAUGCAGAAGGUUCCCAAACAAAGCGUAACUAUACAACAGAUGCUCCAAAAACAAGCUAGGAGACAUUUUAGCGAUAGCAUUCUUGCUAAUUUUCCGUCGCAAAAAUGUAGAUACUAUAGAGUAGAGGUGUGUUGCUGCCCAGUUUUUAUUGGCCCGAGGCAAAUAAUGAAAAUAACACUGAAGCCUGAGUUCAGCCUACAUUGUGUUGCACUUCUUAGCUUCAACUCUAGAUGGAGCUGGUCACUUAUUAGUUCAGGAGUCAAAACUAGGGAUGCUUUUGCCUAUUAAUUAAUCUAAAACAACUAGGGUUGUUCCGAUCAUGUUUUUUGCUCCCAAUCCAAUCCCGAUUGUUUUAGUUUGAGUAUCUGCUGAUCCCGAUAUUUCCCGAUCUGAUUGCUUUUUUUUUUUUUGCUCCCGAUUCAAUUCCAAUCAUUCCCGAUAAUUUUUCCCGAUCAUAUACAUUUUGGCAAUGCAUUAAGAAAAAAAUGAAUAAAACUCGGAUGAAUAUAUACCUUCAACAUACAGUACAUAAGUACUGUAUUUGUUUAUUAUGACAAUAAAUCCUCAAGAUGGCAUUUACAUUAUUAACAUUCUUUCUGUGAGAGGGAUCCACGGAUAGAAAGACUUGUAACUCUUAAAGGAUAAAUGUGACUUUGUAUAUUGUGACUAAAUAUUGCCAUCUAGUGUAUUUGUUGAGCUUUCAGUAAAUGAUACUGUAGUCAGGCCCAAAUGCAUGAUGGGAAGUGGAACCAUGACUGUGCGUAGUGCUACCAAUUGAUAUAUCUUUGCGUUGGCAAAUAACAUAAGGUGUUAAGAUAAAGAUCAAUUGCUACCUUGCUUCCCCACAUUGCUUCCCAUGAUAUUUCUAAUCGUAGGGAGAGGGAUUGUAAGGUUUUAGCCAAUUAAAAUAAUGCUCCAAAGGCUGCCAAAAUUCACUCUACUCAUUUUACGCUGCCUUUUAUCUCUAGGUAAAACGGCGCUAUUACAGAUUGAGCGCGACAAUGCGUGAGUGGGUCGUGCAGCGCAUGCAUUAAUUGCGUUAAAUAUUUUAACGUGAUACAUUUUUAAAAAAUUUAAUUACCGCUGUUAUUAGGAUAAAUUUGAUAACCCUACCUUAAGCCUAAACUAAAGACUCUGGAAGAGUGAAACAUAUGUCUGUAACGUUAAAUACAAUUAGAAAACGAUUUAAUUAAAAAAAAUUAGGGGUGUCAAACGAUUACAAUUUUUAAUCGAGUUACAGCUUAAAAAUUAAUUAAUCGCAAUUCAAACCAUCUAUAAAAUAUGCCAUAUUUUUCUGUAAAUUAUUGUUCGAAUGGAAAGAUAAGACACAAGAUGGAUAUAUACAUUCAACAUACGGUACAUAAGUACUGUAUUUCUUUAUUAUAACAAUAAAUCAACAAGAUGGCAUUACCAUUAUUAACAUUCUGUUAAAGCAAUCCAUGGAUAGAGAGACAAGUUAUAGAAAUUUUAUAUCAAAACCCCUCUUCAUGUUUUCGUUUUAAUAAAAUUUGUCAAAUUUUCAAUCAAAAAAUAAACUAGUAGCCCGCCAUUGUUGAUGUCAAUAAUUACUUACACAAUGCUAAUGGGUGCUGAAGCCUAUAAAAUCAGUCGCACCCAAGCGCCAACAGAGGGUGGCAAAACUCCGAAAAACACAACAAGUACACCUUUUACUGUGCUCUCAUUUUAAUCUGUUUGAGCGGGGCAUUUGUGCGUUAAUUGCGUCAAAUAUUUUAACGGGAUUAAUUAAAAAAAAUUAAUUACCGCUCAUUAACGCGAUAAUUUUGACAGCCUUAAAAAA